AUAAACCUUCGUACCUUACCGUAAUAAUUAAACAACCUUUUCAAUGAAAUCGAGCAGAGAAUAUAUUGCAUGAGACAUUCGUUAAUUAUCUUGUUUUUAUCUAGGUAUUUUUGAAUUAUAUCGCAUGUAAUAAAUCGUUUGACAAUGUUACAGAACACUGCAUGUGUUAUAACAUUGAGGGGUGUUACAGCACAAUGCACGGUUCAAACGAUAAGCUUUCCGCGAGUCUUAUAAUCUUCAAAGAGUUGUUCACUUAACAUACAUGUUCAGUCAUGUACAGUGUCGAGCGUACGGACAGUGAAAGAACGCGAACUCUGGCAGUGGUACAAGAGAUGAAGAUCAGGAAGAAGAUAGAGGAGUACGUUAUUAUUUUUCCUGUCCUUAUCUUAACUUGUUUUUAGAUUUUUCGUUUAGAUGAGGAGGAGGCUGAUGAAAAGUAGAGGAGGAUGCUGACGGAGAGACAAGAAGGAUGCAGAUGAAGAGACGAGGAUGCAGAUGAAGAGAAAAGGAGGAUGCAGAUGAAGAGACGAGGAUGCAGAUAAAGAGAAAAGGAGGAUGCAGAUGAAGGGACGAGGAGGAUGAAAAUGAAUGGACAAGGAGGAUCAAGAACGGACAAGGAGGAUCAAGAAGGAUAUAGAGAAACAUGUCGAGCGUACGGACAGUGAAAGAACGCGAACUCUGGCAGUGGUACAAGAGAUGAAGAUCAAGAAGAAGAUAGAGGAGUACGUUAUUAUUUUUUCCUGUCCUAAUCUUAACUUGUUUUCAGAUUUUUCGUUUAGAUGAGGAGGAGGCUGAUGAAAAGAAGAGGAUGCUGACGGAGAGACGAGGAAGAUGCUGACGGAGCUACGAGGAGGAUGCUGAUGGUGCUACGAAGAGGA